GAACCGAUGAUUGAUAGAUGUCGCCCCUGUCUAAUCAUCUCUUGAUGCGAGAAUUAUGGUGAAUGACAUUAAUCUUAUUC
rfam:Beta vulgaris subsp. vulgaris Bvchr5.sca023.con0048.1, whole genome shotgun sequence.